rnacentral:rRNA from 1 species
AGAGUUUGAUCAUGGCUCAGAUUGAACGCUGGCGGCAGGCCUAACACAUGCAAGUCGAACGGUAACAGGAAGCAGCUUGCUGCUUUGCUGACGAGUGGCGGACGGGUGAGUAAUGUCUGGGAAACUGCCUGAUGGAGGGGGAUAACUACUGGAAACGGUAGCUAAUACCGCAUAACGUCGCAAGACCAAAGAGGGGGACCUUCAGGCCUCUUGCCAUCGGAUGUGCCCAGAUGGGAUUAGCUUGUUGGUGGGGUAACGGCUCACCAAGGCGACGAUCCCUAGCUGGUCUGAGAGGAUGACCAGCCACACUGGAACUGAGACACGGUCCAGACUCCUACGGGAGGCAGCAGUGGGGAAUAUUGCACAAUGGGCGCAAGCCUGAUGCAGCCAUGCCGCGUGUAUGAAGAAGGCCUUCGGGUUGUAAAGUACUUUCAGCGGGGAGGAAGGGAGUAAAGUUAAUACCUUUGCUCAUUGACGUUACCCGCAGAAGAAGCACCGGCUAACUCCGUGCCAGCAGCCGCGGUAAUACGGAGGGUGCAAGCGUUAAUCGGAAUUACUGGGCGUAAAGCGCACGCAGGCGGUUUGUUAAGUCAGAUGUGAAAUCCCCGGGCUCAACCUGGGAACUGCAUCUGAUACUGGCAAGCUUGAGUCUCGUAGAGGGGGGUAGAAUUCCAGGUGUAGCGGUGAAAUGCGUAGAGAUCUGGAGGAAUACCGGUGGCGAAGGCGGCCCCCUGGACGAAGACUGACGCUCAGGUGCGAAAGCGUGGGGAGCAAACAGGAUUAGAUACCCUGGUAGUCCACGCCGUAAACGAUGUCGACUUGGAGGUUGUGCCCUUGAGGCGUGGCUUCCGGAGCUAACGCGUUAAGUCGACCGCCUGGGGAGUACGGCCGCAAGGUUAAAACUCAAAUGAAUUGACGGGGGCCCGCACAAGCGGUGGAGCAUGUGGUUUAAUUCGAUGCAACGCGAAGAACCUUACCUGGUCUUGACAUCCACAGAACUUUCCAGAGAUGGAUUGGUGCCUUCGGGAACUGUGAGACAGGUGCUGCAUGGCUGUCGUCAGCUCGUGUUGUGAAAUGUUGGGUUAAGUCCCGCAACGAGCGCAACCCUUAUCCUUUGUUGCCAGCGGUCCGGCCGGGAACUCAAAGGAGACUGCCAGUGAUAAACUGGAGGAAGGUGGGGAUGACGUCAAGUCAUCAUGGCCCUUACGACCAGGGCUACACACGUGCUACAAUGGCGCAUACAAAGAGAAGCGACCUCGCGAGAGCAAGCGGACCUCAUAAAGUGCGUCGUAGUCCGGAUUGGAGUCUGCAACUCGACUCCAUGAAGUCGGAAUCGCUAGUAAUCGUGGAUCAGAAUGCCACGGUGAAUACGUUCCCGGGCCUUGUACACACCGCCCGUCACACCAUGGGAGUGGGUUGCAAAAGAAGUAGGUAGCUUAACCUUCGGGAGGGCGCUUACCACUUUGUGAUUCAUGACUGGGGUGAAGUCGUAACAAGGUAACCGUAGGGGAACCUGCGGUUGGAUCACCU